GUAACUUUUUAUGCAAGCACGCAGUGAUUUUUAAAGGUUCACAACUAAUUACAUUUUUACUGGUGUCUAGUUAAAUCAAAAUAUAUAUAUUUUUUAAUCUCUUCCAUUAGUCUGUUGUUAGUCUUUAGUGUGUAGUUAGUGUGUAGUUAGUGUGUAGUUAGUGUGUAGUUAGUGUGUAGUUAGUGUGUAGUUAGUGUGCAGUUAGUGUGUAGUUAGUGUGUAGUUAGUGUGUCGUUAGUGUGUAGUUAGUGUGUAGUUAGUGUGUAGUUAGUGUGCAGUUAGUGUGAAAUUAGUGUGUAGUUAGUGUGUAGUUAGCGUGUAGUUAGUGUGUAGUUAGUGUGUAAUUAGUGUGUAGUUAGCGUGUAGUUAGUGUGAAAUUAGCGUGUAGUUAGUGUGUAGUUAUAGUGUAGUUAGUGUGUAGUUAGUGUGAAAUUAGUGUGUAGUUAGCAUGUAGUUAGUAUGUAGUGUGUAGUUAGUGUGUAGUUAGUGUGGUUAUAGCGUGUAGUUAGCGUGUAGUGUGUAGUUAGUGUGUAGUUAGUGUGUAGUUAGUGUGCUAGUUAGCGUGUAGUGUGUAGUUAGUGUGUAGUUAGUGUGUAAUUAGAGUGUAAUUAGUGUGUAGUUAGUGUGUAGUUAGCGUGUAGUUAGU
ensembl:lncRNA